GACCUGACUGCUAUCGGAUUGAUACUAAGCCAUGCGAGUCUUUGCAGUAAUGCAAGGCAUACGGCUCAGUAACACGUAGUCAACUUACCCUAUGGACGAGGAUAAUCUCGGGAAACUGAGCAUAAUACUCGAUAGAUCAUAAUGCCUGGAAUGGUUUAUGGUUGAAAUGAUUCGUCGCCAUAGGAUGGGACUGCGGCCUAUCAGCUUGUUGGUGAGGUAAUGGCCCACCAAGGCGAUUACAGGUACGGGCUCUGAGAGGAGAAGCCCGGAGAUGGGUACUGAGACAAGGACCCAGGCCCUAUGGGGCGCAGCAGGCGAGAAAACUUUGCAAUGUGCGAAAGCACGACAAGGUUAAUCCGAGUGAUUUCUGCUAAAGAAAUCUUUUGCAAGUCAUAAAACCACUAGUGAAUAAGGGGUGGGCAAGUUCUGGUGUCAGCCGCCGCGGUAAAACCAGCACCUCAAGUGGUCAGGAGGAUUAUUGGGCCUAAAGCAUCCGUAGCCGGCUCUGUAAGUUUUCGGUUAAAUCCAUGUGCUCAACGCAUGGGCUGCCGAAAAUACUGCAUAGCUAGGGAGUGGGAGAGGUAGACGGUACUCGGUAGGAAGGGGUAAAAUCCUUUGAUCUAUCGAUGACCACCUGUGGCGAAGGCGGUCUACCAGAACACGUUCGACGGUGAGGGAUGAAAGCUGGGGGAGCAAACCGGAUUAGAUACCCGGGUAGUCCCAGCUGUAAACGAUGCAGACUCGAUGAUGCAUUGGCAUAUAGCCAGUGCAGUGUCGCAGGGAAGCCGUUAAGUCUGCCGCCUGGGAAGUACGUACGCAAGUAUGAAACUUAAAGGAAUUGGCGGGGGAGCACCACAAGGGGUGAAGCCUGCGGUUCAAUUGGAGUCAACGCCGGGC
rnacentral:rRNA from 1 species